CGGAGAGCAUCGAAGAAAUAAAGAAGAAGAGUCUGCACCUUCCGAAUUCAUAUGAACAGCAUUCUAAAUGGACCGAGCGGUGGAGUUACUCUCUCCUCAUCAUUUGGAAGAAGAAACCGAUGGAAGAAUCUAGCAUACCCAGUUGAUCACCUCUGAUGACAAAAGUUGAUUCAAUGGUUCAAGUAUAGCUGAUAAUACAAACAGUAAAUUUAUCAGUUAGUUAUGCAUAAACUAAAUAUAAAAAAGAAAACAGCAAUGAACUCAUUUGGCAUAUAAUAGUGAUAAACUGAUACAGAACACUUUUAGACAUAUAGUAAGUGAAUAUGCAUUAUAAUGCAGUUUCAAAAUAGGCUAACACCUUAAAAAAGUAAAUGAUUGUCCACAUUAUAGAUUGAAUUCAUCAUAGAAAAGAAUUUUAUCAUAAACAUUUGGCAAGUUUAUAAAUAUGCUCAUAGUCAAUAGUUUUAAAUAGUCUGCAUAUUGCUGUUACUACAUUAAAUUUUGAAUCGGCAGUAAUAAAAGACUAAGUUUCUCAGUUCUGAAUAUUAGUAACUAAAAGUUAUAUGUACUUUCCGUUAGAGAACACAUACUGUUAUAUUGAAAAAACAAAGAAAACAAUAUCUUGGGGGUUCUGUAAUGAUCAUAAACUAACAAAUAUAUCAAAAUUUUAAAUAUAUUUGAUCCAUUUAGUCGUAUUUGAUCAAAAUUCAGAAGACUUAAUUGCCUUAACUUAGUUGUAUAGUAAAUAAUGCAAGAUACAAAAAUAGUCGAUCUAAAUUUGUCAUAAGGCUGGUUUCUUAAUUGGCUUUCAUUAAAUAACACCCGAAAACAAA